UACGAUGGGGGCUAGCGUUGCUCGGAAUCACUGGGCGUAAAGGGUGCGUAGGCGGGUCUUUAAGUCAGAGGUGAAAUCCUGGAGCUCAACUCCAGAACUGCCUUUGAUACUGAGGAUCUUGAGUACGGGAGAGGUGAGUGGAACUGCGAGUGUAGAGGUGAAAUUCGUAGAUAUUCGCAAGAACACCAGUGGCGAAGGCGGCUCACUGGCCCGUUACUGACGCUGAGGCACGAAAGCGUGGGGAGCAAACAGG
rnacentral:rRNA from 1 species